rnacentral:rRNA from 1 species
UAAGCAGGGGGCUAGCGUUUUUUGUAAUUACUGGGCGUAACGGGCGCGUAGGCGGACCGUCUAGACAGGGGUGAAAGGCCUGGGUUCAACCCGGGAACUGCCUUUGAAACUGAAGGUCUAGAGUCCGAGAGAGGUUAGCGGAAUUCCCAGUGUAGAGGUGAAAUUCGUAGAUAUUGGGAAGAACACCAGUGGCGAAGGCGGCUAUCUGGCUCGGUACUGACGGUGAUGCGCGAAAGCGUGGGGAGCAAACAGG